rnacentral:rRNA from 1 species
GAUGAACGCUGGCGGCGUGCUUAACACAUGCAAGUCGAACGGAGAUGUUUCGCUGAAGCGAGCUUGCUCAAUUCUUGAAACAUCUUAGUGGCGGACGGGUGAGUAACGCGUGGGUAACCUGCCAUAUACAGGGGGAUAACACUUAGAAAUAGGUGCUAAUACCGCAUAAGCGCACAGUUUCGCAUGAAACAGUGUGAAAAACUCCGGUGGUAUAUGAUGGACCCGCGUCUGAUUAGAUAGUUGGUGAGGUAACGGCUCACCAAGUCGACGAUCGGUAGCCGAACUGAGAGGUUGAUCGGCCGCAUUGGGACUGAGACACGGCCCAGACUCCUACGGGAGGCAGCAGUGGGGAUAUUGCACAAUGGAGGGAACUCUGAUGCAGCAACGCCGCGUGAGGGAAGAAGGUCUUCGGAUUGUAAACUUCUGUCCUUAGGGAAGAUAAUGACGGUACCUUUGGAGGAAGCCCCGGCUAACUACGUGCCAGCA